ensembl:lncRNA
UGGCAACGUCUGCUAUACCACCAGGUAACCCAGGUAACCCACUAUACCACCAGGUAACCCAGGUAACCCACUAUACCACCAGGAAACCCACUAUACCACCAGCUAACCCACUAUACCACCAGGAAACCCACUAUACCACCAGGUAACCCAGGUAACCCACUAUACCACCAGGAAACCCACUAUACCACCAGGUAACCCACUAUACCACCAGGAAACCCACUAUACCACCAGGUAACCCACUAUACCACCAGCUAACCCACUAUACCACCAGGUAACCCACUAUACCACCAGGUAACCCACUAUACCACCAGGAAACCCACUAUACCAUCAGGUAACCCACUAUACCACCAGCUAACCCACUAUACCACCAGGUAACCCACUAUACCACCAAUAAAUCUACUAUACCACCAGGUAACCCAGGUAACCCACUAUACCACCAGGUAAGCCACUAUACCACCAG